AACGAACGCUGGCGGCAUGCCUAACACAUGCAAGUCGAGCGGUAGAGAGGUGCUUGCAUCUCUUGAGAGCGGCGGACGGGUGAGUAAUGCCUAGGAAUCUGCCUAGUGUGGGGGAUAACGUUCGGAAACGGACGCUAAUACCGCAUACGUCCUACGGGAGAAAGCGGGGGAUCUUCGGACCUCGCGCCAUUAGAUGAGCCUAGGUCGGAUUAGCUAGUUGGUGAGGUAAUGGCUCACCAAGGCGACGAUCCGUAACUGGUCUGAGAGGAUGAUCAGUCACACUGGAACUGAGACACGGUCCAGACUCCUACGGGAGGCAGCAGUGGGGAAUAUUGGACAAUGGGCGAAAGACCUCGAUCCAGCCAUGCCGCGUGUGUGAAGAAGGUCUUCGGAUU
rnacentral:rRNA from 1 species